AGUCAGAGGCGAUGAAGGACGUGCUAAUCUGCGAUAAGCGUCGGUAAGGUGAUAUGAACCGUUAUAACCGGCGAUUUCCGAAUGGGGAAACCCAGUGUGUUUCGACACACUAUCAUUAACUGAAUCCAUAGGUUAAUGAGGCGAACCGGGGGAACUGAAACAUCUAAGUACCCCGAGGAAAAGAAAUCAACCGAGAUUCCCCCAGUAGCGGCGAGCGAACGGGGAGCAGCCCAGAGCCUGAAUCAGUGUGUGUGUUAGUGGAAGCGUCUGGAAAGGCGCGCGAUACAGGGUGACAGCCCCGUACACAAAAAUGCACAUGCUGUGAGCUCGAUGAGUAGGGCGGGACACGUGGUAUCCUGUCUGAAUAUGGGGGGACCAUCCUCCAAGGCUAAAUACUCCUGACUGACCGAUAGUGAACCAGUACCGUGAGGGAAAGGCGAAAAGAACCCCGGCGAGGGGAGUGAAAAAGAACCUGAAACCGUGUACGUACAAGCAGUGGGAGCACGCUUAGGCGUGUGACUGCGUACCUUUUGUAUAAUGGGUCAGCGACUUAUAUUCUGUAGCAAGGUUAACCGAAUAGGGGAGCCGAAGGGAAACCGAGUCUUAACUGGGCGUUAAGUUGCAGGGUAUAGACCCGAAACCCGGUGAUCUAGCCAUGGGCAGGUUGAAGGUUGGGUAACACUAACUGGAGGACCGAACCGACUAAUGUUGAAAAAUUAGCGGAUGACUUGUGGCUGGGGGUGAAAGGCCAAUCAAACCGGGAGAUAGCUGGUUCUCCCCGAAAGCUAUUUAGGUAGCGCCUCGUGAAUUCAUCUCCGGGGGUAGAGCACUGUUUCGGCAAGGGGGUCAUCCCGACUUACCAACCCGAUGCAAACUGCGAAUACCGGAGAAUGUUAUCACGGGAGACACACGGCGGGUGCUAACGUCCGUCGUGAAGAGGGAAACAACCCAGACCGCCAGCUAAGGUCCCAAAGUCAUGGUUAAGUGGGAAACGAUGUGGGAAGGCCCAGACAGCCAGGAUGUUGGCUUAGAAGCAGCCAUCAUUUAAAGAAAGCGUAAUAGCUCACUGGUCGAGUCGGCCUGCGCGGAAGAUGUAACGGGGCUAAACCAUGCACCGAAGCUGCGGCAGCGACGCUGAUGCGUUGUUGGGUAGGGGAGCGUUCUGUAAGCCUGCGAAGGUGUGCUGUGAGGCAUGCUGGAGGUAUCAGAAGUGCGAAUGCUGACAUAAGUAACGAUAAAGCGGGUGAAAAGCCCGCUCGCCGGAAGACCAAGGGUUCCUGUCCAACGUUAAUCGGGGCAGGGUGAGUCGACCCCUAAGGCGAGGCCGAAAGGCGUAGUCGAUGGGAAACAGGUUAAUAUUCCUGUACUUGGUGUUACUGCGAAGGGGGGACGGAGAAGGCUAUGUUGGCCGGGCGACGGUUGUCCCGGUUUAAGCGUGUAGGCUGGUUUUCCAGGCAAAUCCGGAAAAUCAAGGCUGAGGCGUGAUGACGAGGCACUACGGUGCUGAAGCAACAAAUGCCCUGCUUCCAGGAAAAGCCUCUAAGCAUCAGGUAACAUCAAAUCGUACCCCAAACCGACACAGGUGGUCAGGUAGAGAAUACCAAGGCGCUUGAGAGAACUCGGGUGAAGGAACUAGGCAAAAUGGUGCCGUAACUUCGGGAGAAGGCACGCUGAUAUGUAGGUGAAGUCCCUCGCGGAUGGAGCUGAAAUCAGUCGAAGAUACCAGCUGGCUGCAACUGUUUAUUAAAAACACAGCACUGUGCAAACACGAAAGUGGACGUAUACGGUGUGACGCCUGCCCGGUGCCGGAAGGUUAAUUGAUGGGGUUAGCGCAAGCGAAGCUCUUGAUCGAAGCCCCGGUAAACGGCGGCCGUAACUAUAACGGUCCUAAGGUAGCGAAAUUCCUUGUCGGGUAAGUUCCGACCUGCACGAAUGGCGUAAUGAUGGCCAGGCUGUCUCCACCCGAGACUCAGUGAAAUUGAACUCGCUGUGAAGAUGCAGUGUACCCGCGGCAAGACGGAAAGACCCCGUGAACCUUUACUAUAGCUUGACACUGAACAUUGAGCCUUGAUGUGUAGGAUAGGUGGGAGGCUUAGAAGUGUGGACGCCAGUCUGCAUGGAGCCGACCUUGAAAUACCACCCUUUAAUGUUUGAUGUUCUAACGUUGACCCGUAAUCCGGGUUGCGGACAGUGUCUGGUGGGUAGUUUGACUGGGGCGGUCUCCUCCUAAAGAGUAACGGAGGAGCACGAAGGUUGGCUAAUCCUGGUCGGACAUCAGGAGGUUAGUGCAAUGGCAUAAGCCAGCUUGACUGCGAGCGUGACGGCGCGAGCAGGUGCGAAAGCAGGUCAUAGUGAUCCGGUGGUUCUGAAUGGAAGGGCCAUCGCUCUACGGAUAAAAGGUACUCCGGGGAUAACAGGCUGAUACCGCCCAAGAGUUCAUAUCGACGGCGGUGUUUGGCACCUCGAUGUCGGCUCAUCACAUCCUGGGGCUGAAGUAGGUCCCAAGGGUAUGGCUGUUCGCCAUUUAAAGUGGUACGCGAGCUGGGUUUAGAACGUCGUGAGACAGUUCGGUCCCUAUCUGCCGUGGGCGCUGGAGAACUGAGGGGGGCUGCUCCUAGUACGAGAGGACCGGAGUGGACGCAUCACUGGUGUUCGGGUUGUCAUGCCAAUGGCACUGCCCGGUAGCUAAAUGCGGAAGAGAUAAGUGCUGAAAGCAUCUAAGCACGAAACUUGCCCCGAGAUGAGUUCUCCCUGACCCUUUAAGGGUCCUGAAGGAACGUUGAAGACGACGACGUUGAUAGGCCGGGUGUGUAAGCGCAGCGAUGCGUUGAGCUAACCGGUACUAAUGAACCGUGAGGCUUAACCU
rnacentral:rRNA from 1 species